UACGUAGGGUGCAAGCGUUGUCCGGAAUUAUUGGGCGUAAAGAGCUCGUAGGCGGUCUGUCGCGUCUGCUGUGAAAACUCAGGGCUUAACCCUGAGCUUGCAGUGGGUACGGGCAGACUAGAGUGCGGUAGGGGAGACUGGAAUUCCUGGUGUAGCGGUGAAAUGCGCAGAUAUCAGGAGGAACACCGGUGGCGAAGGCGGGUCUCUGGGCCGUAACUGACGCUGAGGCACGAAAGCGUGGGGAGCGAACAGG
rnacentral:rRNA from 1 species